rnacentral:rRNA from 1 species
ACGGAAUAGAUACCCCGGUAGUCCACGCCCUAAACGAUGUCUACUAGUUGUCGGGGAUUCAUUUCCUUGGUAAACGCAGCUAAACGCGUGAAAGUAGACCGCCUGGGGAGUACGGCCGCAAGGUUAAAACUCAAAGGAAUUGACGGGGACCCGCACAAGCGGUGGAUGAUGUGGAUUAAUUCGAUGCAACGCGAAAAACCUUACCUACGCUUGACAUGCCAGGAACUUUCCAGAGAUGGAUUGGUGCCCGAAAGGGAACCUGGACACAGGUGCUGCAUGGCUGUCGUCAGCUCGUGUCGUGAGAUGUUGGGUUAAGUCCCGCAACGAGCGCAACCCUUAUCCUUAGUUGCUACGCAAGGGCACUCUAGGGAGACUGCCGGUGACAAACCGGAGGAAGGUGGGGAUGACAUCAAGUCCUCAUGGCCCUUAUGUGUAGGGCUUCACACGUCAUACAAUGGUCGGUACAGAGGGUCGCCAACCCGCGAGGGGGAGCCAAUCCCAGAAAACCGAUCGUAGUCCGGAUUGCAGUCUGCAACUCGACUGC